rnacentral:rRNA from 1 species
GAUGAACGCUGGCGGCGUGCCUAAUACAUGCAAGUCGAGCGAACGGACGAGAAGCUUGCUUCUCUGAUGUUAGCGGCGGACGGGUGAGUAACACGUGGAUAACCUACCUAUAAGACUGGGAUAACUUCGGGAAACCGGAGCUACUACCGGCUAAUAUUUUGAACCGCAUGGUUCAAAAGUGAAAGACGGUCUUGCUGUCACUUAUAGAUGGAUCCGCGCUGCAUUAGCUAGUUGGUAAGGUAACGGCUUACCAAGGCAACGAUGCAUAGCCGACCUGAGAGGGUGAUCGGCCACACUGGAACUGAGACACGGUCCAGACUCCUACGGGAGGCAGCAGUAGGGAAUCUUCCGCAAUGGGCGAAAGCCUGACGGAGCAACGCCGCGUGAGUGAUGAAGGUCUUCGGAUCGUAAAACUCUGUUAUUAGGGAAGAACAUAUGUGUAAGUAACUGUGCACAUCUUGACGGUACCUAAUCAGAAAGCCACGGCUAACUACGUG